CGUACGCUGGCGGCACGCCUAACACAUGCAAGUCGAACGAAGUAGCAAUACUGAGUGGCAAACGGGUGAGUAACAUGUGGGUAUCUGCCCUUCGGCCUGGAAUAACACGAGGAAACUUGUGCUAAUACCAGAUAAGUCUUAACAGAGAAAGCUUUAUGCACCGAUGGAUGAGCCUGCACUUGAUUAGUUAGUUGGUGAGGUAAUAGCUCACCAAGACUGUGAUCAAUAGCUGAUUUGAGAGGAUGAUCAGCCACAUUGGGACUGAGACACGGCCCAAACUCCUACGGGAGGCAGCAGUGGGGAAUCUUGCACAAUGGGGGAAACCCUGAUGCAGCGAUGCCGCGUGAGUGAAGAAGGCCUUUGGGUUGUAAAGCUCUUUCGUCGGGGAAGAAAAUGACUGUACCCGAAUAAGAAGGUCCGGCUAACUUCGUGCCAGCAGCCGCGGUAAUACGAAGGGACCUAGCGUAGUUCGGAAUUACUGGGCUUAAAGAGCACGUAGGUGGUUAAAAAAGUUGGUGGUGAAAUCCCAGAGCUCAACUCUGGAACUGCCAUCAAAACUUUUUAGCUAGAGUAUGAUAGAGGAAAGUAGAAUUUCUAGUGUAGAGGUGAAAUUCGUAGAUAUUAGAAAGAAUACCAAUUGCGAAGGCAGCUUUCUGGAUCAUUACUGACACUGAGGUGCGAAAGCAUGGGUAGCGAAGAGGAUUAGAUACCCUCGUAGUCCAUGCCGUAAACGAUGUGUGCUAGACGUUGGAAAUUUAUUUUCAGUGUCGCAGCAAAAGCGUUAAGCACACCGCCUGGGGAGUACGACCGCAAGUAAUAUGAUACG
rnacentral:rRNA from 1 species